CCUGCUGUAAUAUUCACCCAAUUUGCUGUUCUUCAUCCCUGCUGAAGAUGCUAUACUCUAAAUACUCACUGCUCACUUUGAAUCUUUGCAACAAGAAGAGCUCAAAUGUGUUUUUCAAUCCCUGGAUGAGGUGAGUAACUUUACACAGUUGGAGCACGAUUAGCAUAAUACAUGUAGUUUGUGCAAAUCUACAUUCAGGGAUUCGUAUGGACCUUUGGAAUGAAAAAAAAUGGUGACGAGCAUACAUGUCUGUAUGCAUAUAGAUGGUUUCUUAAUUCAUGAAAUUCUUCAACCUUGCAGAUGGACAGAAUACAGAAAGAGGAAGAGUCUGCAUAAAAAGUGAUGGAGGAAAGGAAGAAGAAAAAGAAUGUCUUCGCAGAUUCAUCAGUGCAUCACUUCAUCUGGACUCCAUGGGGAGAUCUAUAUUGCUGCUGCUAAGGACUGAAGUCCCUCGAUUCAAAAUCUUCCUGUAGAGUCCAUGUGCCAAAGACAAUAUCUAAUCAUCAAUAUCAUCUGCAUAAUAAAAAACUCUUUUUGCUUCA